GAAAGCUGAUAGGACUAAUCUUUUUGGAGAAAUGAGGGAUAUUAUGUAACAACAGUGAUCAAUGGACGUUAAUAUCACCAAUAAAUA